CCCCCCACCCCCCUUCCACCCCAGCAGCAGGUCUUGGGUAGCCAUCGAGAGAGCUAAGCAGGUCACUGCUCCUGAGCUGAACUCCAUCAGCCGUAUGUCGGGAUCUUGGCGGGUGUGGAGGGAGGAAGGGAGGGCCAGAGGUGGCUGACACUCCCCUUCCUCUGCCCCUGCAAGCAGCAGCUCCAAGCCCACCCACUGUCCCAGCUGCAGGCUCUGGCCCUGCCCCUGACCCCACCUGCCUGUGGGGCUGCAGCCCCUUCGCUGCCGGCGGUCAGCGCAGGCACCGGCCUCCUCCUCUCGGUCGCGCUGGGCUCCCGGCCCACCUCUCCAAGGAAGAGGUGGGCCUGGGAGCCCAGCGCCGACAGCGAGAGGAGGCCGGUGCCUGCGCUGACCGCCGGCAGCGAAGGGGGCUGCAGCCCCACAGGCAGUGGGGUCAGGGGCAGGGCCAGAGCCUGCAGCUGGGACAGCUGGUGGGCUUGGAGCUGCUGCUGCAGGGGCAGAGGAAGGGGAGUGUCAGCCACCUCUGGCCCUCCCUUCCUCCCUCCACACCCGCCAAGAUCCCGACAUACUCGGAUGAUGGAGUUCAGCUCAGGAGCAGUGACCUGCUUAGCUCUCUCGAUGGCUCCCAAGACCUGCUGCUGGUGCUGGAAGGGGGUGGGGUGGAGAUGAGUAAAAUGAGUCGCCCUGAUCUUGUUGGGGGCUGUGGCACAGAGCCCAGCAGGAGCCACACACCCAUCUGGGCUGUGGGAGCCCUCCCUCUCCAGGGCUUCCCAGCUGCCCCCCAACCCCGAAAUCCCCUUCUUUCCAGUUACUUCCUUUCCCCAAGCCUUAGUCUAUUCAUCUAGAAAAUGGGAGAAAUGGAGAUGCAUAGAAGACCCCAAGGAGCUGGUACCAUAAUCUUGGGAAAAAGCCUGCAGGUGAGUCUGAGAAACCCCAGACCAUGACCUAUCCAAUGCCACGUGCAAUGUAACAGUGCAGUGUACAACCUGGCCAACCAGACAGGCAAGUCCUGGUCCUAAGAGCUCAGAGGCUGUGCUCUGAGAUCGGCUCAUUUAAGCACCUCUUCUUCCACAGCUGGGGAAGGCCCAGUGAAUUCUCCUCUGGGCUGGGGUAGAAGUCUAGGUUCAGAGCAAUCCCUGCCCCCAUCCCCAGCCCUCCCUGAAAAUCUGUCUCUCCUGCCAUCAGAUGCUAGAAUCUGCCAAGUUCCNNNNNNNNNNNUUGCCUUGGCUACCAGGAAGCCUG
rnacentral:lncRNA from 1 species